GAAGCCGGCCAGACAGCCGCUGCGCGCGGAAGAAGCGAGCCUCAACAGGGGUUCGUGCCGUGCGGAGAGGAAAGUCCGGGCUCCAUAGGGUAGGGUGGCGGCUAAUCACCGCCCGCCGUGAGGCGAGGAACAGGGCCACAGAGACGAGACCGCCGAUGGCCACGGACUUGUGGACCGCGCUUGCGCGGGCCACAAAGUCCCUUUCGAAUCGGGCAGGGUGGGCGAAAGUCCCCUUUGUCCGAGGAAUUGAGGAAGCGCGAGAGCGCGGCUUCGAUCCACGAAGGGCGGGCGCUAGCGCGUCCGGGUGGAUCAGGUAAGGGUGAAACGGUGCGGUAAGAGCGCACCGCGUCCGCUGUGAAGCGGACGGCGAGGCAACCUCCACCUGGAGCAACACCAAAUAGGCAAGCGAUGACGUGACCCACCGAGCUUGCGGGUAGGUGGCUUGAGCCUUGGAGCAAUCCGGGGCCUAGAGGAAUGGCUGUCAGGGACCGCGAGGUCCUUACAGAACCCGGCUUAUCGGCCGGCUUCCAUC
rfam:Betaproteobacteria bacterium SG8_41 WOR_8-12_83, whole genome shotgun sequence.